GGUUGGGGAUGGGCUCGCGGCCUAUCAGCUUGUUGGUGAGGUAAUGGCUCACCAAGGCGUCGACGGGUAGCCGGCCUGAGAGGGUGACCGGCCACACUGGGACUGAGACACGGCCCAGACUCCUACGGGAGGCAGCAGUGGGGAAUAUUGCACAAUGGGCGCAAGCCUGAUGCAGCAACGCCGCGUGAGGGAUGACGGCCUUCGGGUUGUAAACCUCUUUUAGCAGGGAAGAAGCGAAAGUGACGGUACCUGCAGAAAAAGCGCCGGCUAACUACGUGCCAGCAGCCGCGGUAAUACGUAGGGCGCAAGCGUUAUCCGGAAUUAUUGGGCGUAAAGAGCUCGUAGGCGGUUUGUCGCGUCUGCUGUGAAAUCCCGAGGCUCAACCUCGGGCCUGCAGUGGGUACGGGCAGACUAGAGUGCGGUAGGGGAGAUUGGAAUUCCUGGUGUAGCGGUGGAAUGCGCAGAUAUCAGGAGGAACACCGAUGGCGAAGGCAGAUCUCUGGGCCGUAACUGACGCUGAGGAGCGAAAGGGUGGGGAGCAAACAGGCUUAGAUACCCUGGUAGUCCACCCCGUAAACGUUGGGAACUAGUUGUGGGGUCCAUUCCACGGAUUCCGUGACGCAGC
rnacentral:rRNA from 1 species